CAACGAAAAACAUUGGUCAGCAUGAAGCUUCACCGAUUGGAAAUUUUAAAAUUGUUUGUCCUUUUCCCCCCAGUGUGCAUGUAUUGGGUCAUUUUGAUUUUGAACAAUAACAUAAGUCCCAUUAUCUUCAGAGUAUAAUUAUGUUACUACACUGUAAAAUAGAAGGGAUUAAAUAUUAAUCAUUUGGGAUUUUUCAUCAAAAUAAUCCAAAAGGAUUAAAUUUUAGCACUGUAGGAUUAAAUUUAAAUACUUACUAAUUGUAGCGAAUUGUAGGACCACGUUGAAAUCCCGCACAAAACCCAGGGCUUACGGCCGAGAGCUCCGCGCUUGAUCCAGAUGAGAACGCAAUGUUCGUUGUGUUGUUUGUUGAUUCUGAAAAUGACAAUGAUUAUAUCAAUUUCUAAAUAUGAACAUGCCGUUGAAAUGCUGGAUGUAGCUCUAUAUUCAUAACAGCACACCAUCCUGUUUGUUUAGAAUGUUACGACCUGCAUUUGCAUCACGAUUCCAGGUGAUAGUACGCCCAAUUCGAGUUUUCUCUUCAUAUUUACGAAAUUUUGAUGCCAUACGUGGACCAUCAGUACGAGGACGAUGUUUUCGUUGCUGCGUCAAUUUGCGAUUGCUUUUUCGUGAUUCAAUCGGACCUUGGGCUUUUCCAAGCACAUUUUCUCCACACAAUGGUUCGCAUCCAUGGCAUGUGAGAUAGCGAUAUUUCUCCUUUACUUUGCCUCUUUUUGUCGGUUUUUCAAGUUCACGGAAGCACAACGAACAUAAUUUGGUCGUCCGAAAUUCGUCCACCUCGACCACUGUACAUUUACGGCGACGUUUCAACUUCUCGAACAAAUCUCGCACCUUCGAUCGAAUAUAUCCUCGGGCUGGUGAAUCUGCCGCAAUGAAACGAUCACCGACAAAUAUGAACGUUUGCUUACCAUCGAUGAGCUUGGUUGCAUAUGCAUCAAGUGCUCUAUUCGUGUCAAUGUACUGGAGAAAUGCUUGCAAAGCGUAUUCAUACUGUGUGUAUGCUGUGAACUUUUCUUCAAAAUGACGCAAAAUAUGAUCAGCAUAUGAUUUAUGGUCUUCGGCUCGUGGACCAGGCUGCUCAUCAAAUGACUCACGAUGUAGACGCAUCUUUUCAUCGAUUUCAGUUGUCAACUUUUUGCGCCAUUUGUUCCGUCGCGAUGAAUUUAUCAUAUCUUGGUAUUGGCCCGAUGUCAAUCGAAUGAUUGUUUCAGUGCGAUUAUUUCGAUCGUUGAAAUUGUUAAUGCGCACACCACCAAUGACCAAACGUAGUCCAGGAUCGAGACCAUACACUUGUUGGCUUUUCAGAAGCAUCUCUUGUGUCUCUUUCAUACGCUCUUCAUCGUCUUUUUCAAUGAUGAAUUUUGUUCGUUCCAUCAAAAAUGACAUACCGACACCAUCUGUUUGAAUGGAGUUGUCGAAUUUUAUUGUUGCAUGGCCAUCAUUUUUGUUUCUCGGUUCUCUUUCGAUGCUAUCGAUGUCGAAAUACAGACGCCAUAAUACAUCCCAUUCUUUAUUUUUGAUGUCUUCCUCCUGUUUUGGGCCGCCGUUUUUAUUGCGAAAUAAUCGAUGUGGACAUUCUAUCUGUCUCAACAUGCGAUAAAACACUCUACGAUCAAUUCGAAUGUAAUGUCUUUCGAACGAUGACGUUGGUACCACGGUGAAAUUUCUGUAUUCACGAAGCUCGGUUCGUUCACCUCGCUUCAAUGCGGCUUUUCGUUCACGUUCAUGAUUGCGAAUGUACCUAUUUUUGUAUAUUUUCCA